rnacentral:lncRNA from 1 species
AAAAAUCUGAGAAUAAAAAUAGCUAAGAAAUUCAGAGAAGAACACUGUUUCCAUUAAAUACUUUUCCUGGGUUUUGAGUUUAUGAUUUCUAAAAAACAGUAUUUGAUUCUGGGUUGAAAAUGAGUAGAGUUCUGGGUAUGUUUUAAAGGUGGUUUGGAUUUCUUGUUGGGAAAUACUGUUUCAUAGUUUUUUUGAGCUGAUUUCACUGUUUCACUAAUUGGUUCUGGGCUGAUUCCUGCUAUUUGCUACUAGUAACCUUCUCUCUCUUAAUUCUAUUCAUGUUAGGCAUUUUUCUUAACUAUUGAGUGGCCAUCAAAGCUUUGAAAUUGACUUGUUGUGUAUAGACGAU